rnacentral:misc_RNA from 1 species
CAUUCUAAACAUAUUCAGAGGUUGUAAAGGUAAACAUAGACCUGGAAAGCCAAGGAAAAGCUGGCUGAAGCACAGCAGUCCUCAAUCUAUACAAAAUAAUCAGAAGAAUUCCAGGCCUACAAUAUGUGCACAGUGGGGGAAAGUAAAGAUGACAAGUGUGCACAUGCUCAGUAGAGCCAGCAACAACCUGAUCAAGUUUAUUCAAUAAUGAUCCUUCCGCAGGUUCACCUACGGAAACCUUGUUACGACUUUUACUUCCUCUAAAUGACCAAGA